rnacentral:rRNA from 1 species
UCCAGACUCCUACGGGAGGCAGCAGUGGGGGAUAUUGCACAAUGGGGGAAACCCUGAUGCAGCGACGCCGCGUGAGUGAAGAAGUAUUUCGGUAUGUAAAGCUCCAUCAGCAGGGAAGAAAAAAGACGGUACCUGACUAAGAAGCCCCGGCUAACUACGUGCCAGCAGCCGCGGUAAUACGUAGGGGGCAAGCGUUAUCCGGAUUUACUGGGUGUAAAGGGAGCGUAGACGGCAAUACAAGUCGGAAGUGAAAUACCCGGGCUCAACCUGGGAACUGCUUUGGAAACUGUAUGGCUGGAGUGCUGGAGAGGUAAGCGGAAUUCCUAGUGUAGCGGUGAAAUGCGUAGAUAUUAGGAGGAACACCAGUGGCGAAGGCGGCUUACUGGACAGUAACUGACGUUGAGGCUCGAAAGCGUGGGGAGCAAACAGGAUUAGAUACCCUGGUAAAA